GCCCGCCGCGCCCACCGGGCCACGCCUCUUCCGCACGGAGGCGCAGCACCGCGUUGAUGACCACCGGAACAGGGGUGUGUCCGUGGAACGCAUCAUACCUAUCCAUAUGCCCGCGGAGGAGGGCACCACGCCCCUGCCCCGCCCGGUCCAGGCGGUCGCCUCGCCCAUCACCUCGCCCGUCACACCGCCAGUUGUCCCGCGACAGCAUACACCGCUCAGGCGGCUGGCGUCAACUGAGUCGCCCACUAGCGAGUCGUGCAGCAGCCCCGGGGAGCCGAUCAAGAAGUCGGCGCG